rnacentral:rRNA from 1 species
GACGAACGCUGGCGGCGUGCUUAACACAUGCAAGUCGAACGGAAAGGCCCUGCUUUUGUGGGGUGCUCGAGUGGCGAACGGGUGAGUAACACGUGAGUAACCUGCCCUUGACUUUGGGAUAACUUCAGGAAACUGGGGCUAAUACCGGAUAGGAGCUCCUGCUGCAUGGUGGGGGUUGGAAAGUUUCGUCGGUUGGGGAUGGACGCGCGGCUUAUCAGCUUGUUGGUGGGGUAGUGGCUUACCAAGGCUUUGACGGGUAGCCGGCCUGAGAGGGUGACCGGCCACAUUGGGACUGAGAUACGGCCCAGACUCCUACGGGAGGCAGCAGUGGGGAAUAUUGCACAAUGGGCGGAAGCCUGAUGCAGCAACGCCGCGUGCGGGAUGACGGCCUUCGGGUUGUAAACCGCUUUCGCCUGUGACGAAGCGUGAGUGACGGUAAUGGGUAAAGAAGCACCGGCUAACUACGUG